GCGGGCUCUCGCCGCAGAGGAGGAUUGACCUGGACUGGGACCGGAAGACUGCGGCGGAGAUGGGGUUCCCGGACGGCCACUGGAAGCUCAACAUCUCGGACUGGAGGCAGAAUGUGUGAAGAUGUGGGAGAAGAAGGAUAGAUCGCGAAAAACACAAACUCUGUUGCUGUUAGCUGACAUCAGUUGGAGUUCGUUUUGUUUGAGUUCGUUGGUGCAUAGAAUACUUUGUAUCUUUUGAAAGAUUCAUCUUUGAAGGGUCGGGGCUUGGGACGGUUUCCAUUUUGCAUUGGGCUGCACGUAAAGCCUCACAUUGAUGCAGGAAAUGACAGGAGAAAGUUCAGAAUAAACAGUUUCAUCAAUUCUGACAAUUUUAGGAAGAUGAGAAUGGGUCUCAUACCACGCUAGCUCUUUUUGAUAGAUCAAGGAUGUUGAUUCAUUAGCCCUUUCUCUGUUACUCCCUUGACUCAUAGUUCAGUUAUUUUACCUGGUCUCAAGCUAUUAGUAGGGCUGUUAAACGAGCUUCCUGCCCCGGCCAGCUCGUGUUCGGCUCGAAAUUUGGCUCGAAGUUAUGCCUGCUAGACUAGCAAAAGAGCUGAGCUAGAACUAGGCUUAGCUCAUUUGACG
rnacentral:lncRNA from 1 species